CCCGGCGGGACCUCCCGCUUUCCUCUCGCAAGGAUGUGGUCAGGUUCCAGGACCGGACCACCUCGAGACCAGACCUGCCCGGGGGCCGGGCUAGAGACUAAGACCCAGCCUGGGCGGUGUCGCAGGGGCUGGCCUGAAGCCUGAGGCGGUGGUCCACGCCGCUGAUCCCAGGGACCUGGACGGCUGAGGCAAGGGAAUUGGAAGUUCAAGGCCACCCUAGGCAACGUAGGAGACCAUGUCUAAAAAAAAAUCUCCGUGUCAGGAGAUGAAGUUCAGUAGCAGCACGCCCGUCUGGCAUACCCGAGGCUCUAGGUUCGAUUCCCAAUAUUGGAAUGUCCUGAGCAGUGAACUCAAAGGGAAAUGAGACAAGAUUUUGCUAGCCUCGUUAUGAUGAGAUAAAUUUAUAUUCAAGAAGUGCCACAUGACUUGAUAAGAUUAAGAAUGUUCGAAGUUGGGAUGGGGAUGUGGCUCAAGUGGUAGCGUGCUCACCUGCCAUGCCUGCAGCCCGGGUUCCAUCCUCAGUACCACAUUCAAACAAAGAUGUUGUGUCCGCUGGAAACUGUUAGAGUCUGUAAACAAGUCAGGAUGGCGCCUGGCAUUUUGCCAGAGAAAUGUUAGGGUCUGUAAACAAGUCUGGAUGGCGCCUGGCAAAAUGCCAGAGGGAGUGGUUUGUGAAGUAACACCAGGGAGCCAUUAAGUGUGGAGAUUCCUUAUUGGUUGACUGAUGUAUCUAGUUUAUGCUAAUUAGAUAAGCUGUGUGGAAUGUAUAAAUACUGCUCCUGUCCUGCAAUAAAUGGCUACCACUCCUGCUGUA